CUGUCUUCUUUGGGGAAAUGUCUACUCAAAUGUCGCACAUUUUUUAAUUGGGUUGUUAAGUUAUAGGAGUUCUUUAUAUAUUCUGGAUAUUAAUCUCUUAUCAGAUAUAUGAUUUACAAAUAUUUUCUUCCAUUCUGUGGGUUGCGUUUCACUCUGUUGAUACUAUCCUUUGAUGCACAAAUAUUUUCAAUUUUUUGUUGGGAGUCCAACUUUGUUUUGUAUUUGUUUUGGUUUGGGGUUUUUUUUGUUUGUUUUUGAGACAGGGUCUCGCUUUGUCAUCCAGGCUAAGGUGCAGUGAUGUGAACCUGGCUCACUGCAGCCUUAACCUCCCAGGCUCAAACAAUCCUCCCUCAUUGG
rnacentral:lncRNA from 1 species